AUCCUGGCUCAGGAUGAACGCUGGCGGCGUGCCUAAUACAUGCAAGUCGAACGAACUUCCGUUAAUUGAUUAUGACGUACUUGUACUGAUUGAGAUUUUAACACGAAGUGAGUGGCGAACGGGUGAGUAACACGUGGGUAACCUGCCCAGAAGUAGGGGAUAACACCUGGAAACAGAUGCUAAUACCGUAUAACAGAGAAAACCGCAUGGUUUUCUUUUAAAAGAUGGCUCUGCUAUCACUUCUGGAUGGACCCGCGGCGUAUUAGCUAGUUGGUGAGGUAAAGGCUCACCAAGGCAGUGAUACGUAGCCGACCUGAGAGGGUAAUCGGCCACAUUGGGACUGAGACACGGCCCAGACUCCUACGGGAGGCAGCAGUAGGGAAUCUUCCACAAUGGACGCAAGUCUGAUGGAGCAACGCCGCGUGAGUGAAGAAGGGUUUCGGCUCGUAAAGCUCUGUUGUUAAAGAAGAACGGGGGUAAGAGUAACUGUUUACCCAGGACGG
rnacentral:rRNA from 1 species